rnacentral:rRNA from 1 species
UUCCGGUUGAUCCUGCCGGACCGACUGCUAUCAGAGUGGGACUAAGCCAUGCGAGUCAACGCAGCAAUGCGUGGCAUACGGCUCAGUAACACGUAGAUCAACAUGCCCAGGGGACGUGGAUAACCUCGGGAAACUGAGGAUAAACCGCGAUAGGCCAAGGUUUCUGGAAUGGAUCAUGGCUGAAACCUACAUGGCCCCUGGAUUGGACUGCGGCCGAUCAGGCUGUUGGUGAGGUAAUGGCCCACCAAACCUGUAACCGGUACGGGCUCUGAGAGGAGGAGCCCGGAGAUGGGCACUGAGACAAGGGCCCAGGCCCUAUGGGGCGCAGCAGGCGCGAAACCUCUGCAAUAGGCGAAAGCUUGACAGGGUUACUCUGAGUGAUGUCCGCUAAGGGCCUCUUUUGGCACU